rnacentral:rRNA from 1 species
UACAGAGGUCUCAAGCGUUUGUUCGGAUUCAUUGGGCGUAAAGGGUGCGUAGGUGGCGGGGCAAGUUUGGUGUGAAAGCCCUGGGCUCAACCCAGGAAGUGCACUCGAAACUGGCGGGCUUGAAUAUGGAAGAGGGUCGCGGAAUUCCCGGUGUAGAGGUGAAAUUCGUAGAUAUCGGGAGGAACACCAGUGGCGAAGGCGGCGACCUGGGCCAAUAUUGGACGCUGAGG